GCUGGGGACCGAACCCAGAGCCUUGCGCUUCCUAGGUAAGCGCUCUACCACUGAGCUAAAUCCCCAGCCCCGUUAUACCUGGGUUUUAAGCCUGCACUUUCCACAGCUUCUAGAACUACUGAUGUUGAGGCCUGUCAUUCUACCCCACUGCAUGUCCCAUAGUGAAAACCAAUUUUACUAUAAAAUAAAACACAGGGAAAUGGAAACCUGUCUGUCCCUCAAAACAAAAUCAAAAGUCAUAAAUAUUCCAGUGUGAAAUGUGAACUUAGGAAAGGACAGGCAACCCUUUUCUUAAGGAAUUUCUGUGCCUGAUUUUGAAAUAAUUCUGGAGUGAAUCUCCAACCACCCUGGUCUCUAUACAAGGUCUGACCGUGAGCCCUGUGGAACUCACUAUGUAAACCAUACUGGUCUGCCUUUGCCUCCGGAGUGUUGGGAUCAAAGGUGUGCAUCACCACGCCUGGUGGAAUCUUUUUUGAUGGGUACAAAUAACAAUACAUAAAUAAGUGUAAGCUCCUCAAACUGUCAACCGAGUGUUCCAGUAAUUCCUCCUGUUGCCUUAGAAACAAAACCAAACACAGAACCCUAAGACAUAACCAAACACUACUGAUAGCAACAGAAGUGAACCUAGCCAAACAAAUGAAAGGAAGCCUUUGAUACUUCACGUGUUCAGAGGUCAGCUGUGUGUAGGCUGCUUUUUAGGUAUUCAAUAUAAAUUACUAGGUAUAAAUAACUUUACAUUUGCCUGUCUACAUAUCUGGUAAUGCUGUUAGAUUGACGAUGCAGAAUCAAGAUGCAUUUCGCCUGUGAGGGCUCAUAGGACUGAUUGGAUUCAGGUGCAGUAUGAAAGAACCUUGGCUUACACACAGAACUGUUGCCAGUGAGUGACCAGGGCCACUAAGUUCAUAUGAAUUUAAGGGGGCUGGGUAUGUUUCCAGUGACCAUAUUGGCAGGAAGAUCACAAGUUCAAGGCUAACCUACGUAGUGAGACUAUCUCAAAAACAAACACAAAUGAAUAGGAGGAAAUGAUUGGCUUUGGUUCUUUGUGGAGUUGGUUACAGCGGACCCAUGGUUCUCCAACUACAGAGGGCUUGCUUGUUAGAACACACACAGCUGGCUUCCCAGACCUCACUAGGUAGGCCUAGGGUAGGCUCACUAAUGUAAACUGGAUUAUCCCCAGGAUUACUGGUUGCGAUGCUCAAAGGACUACAUGUGAAAUUAGGUAACUUUAUUUUCUUAACUCUUUGUAGAUUUUACACACACACACACACACACACACACACACACACACACACACCCUCCCUCUGCUACGUCGCAACCCUUACCAUUGCUUGAUUUCUCCAUCAUGACAUUUUAAAAAUUGCCAUAUGGUAAUGAUUAUAACUCUGACAAAUUUCCACGUUUUCUGAAAACCUUGGGUCUAUUCAAACUCAGAUUAGAUAUUCCUGAGUAACCAGAGGAUUCUCAGUAAAGACGCAUUAAAAUAGCCAGGUCUAGUGGCCCAUGUCUUUAAUCUCAGCACUUUGGAAGCAGAAGCAGGUGAGUUUGAGACCAGCCUGGUCUACACAGCAAGGGCUACUUAGAUCAUGGUUUUAAAAAAAUACUUCUGAUGGUAAAUGUCACAAUUCUGAACUUCUGAUUUAACCCCCACAUAUUAAAUACUAACCAGUCACCUUUAAAAAAAAAAAAAAAAACAAAUCCAUGUGGGUAUUUUUCCUGCACGUUUGUCAGUGUAUGUUUGACAGUUCCUGAGGAAGCCAGAAGAGGGUGUCAGAAGCCAGAGUGUGCCAAGCAACUGGAGUUACAGAUGAUUGUGAGCCACCGUGUGGGUGCUGGAAAUGGGACCUCCAUCCCCUGGAGGAGCAGGCAGUACUCUCAGCCACGGACUCAUCUCCAGUCCAGCAAAUGUCUUUUAAGAUAGAGCGGCAGAGCAGUUGCAAAGCAGUAUUGGGGGCUCACUGAAAAAAAGUGGGCCUAUCACACAGAACUGCUUUCUAGUUGAGAUUAUAUAGCUUUGAGUCUGUACUGGACAGGGAUAACAGUGACACAGAGGCCCCCUGAACACAGUGGACUCAGGGAAGUGGGCAUGUUCGGGAAUGAGAUUCUCAUGGUGUGUGUGUAGGAUACGUAGGAAGUCAGAGCACUGUCAGCCUGUAGGUAACAGGCAGCGGGCGCAGUAGCAGUUCUAUGGCGAGGCCAGCGGUAUCUGGUGACAAGGGGUCGGUCAGGGAUAACAGGGCCUUGUCUUAAAGCAGACAUCACGGUGUACUUGGGGCUCUGUGGGAUGCUCUAAUGUGGAUUCUAAGAGGACGGGAGCUCUGGAGGCCCACUAAAUGCUGAUCAGGUGAGUCUGUCUGAAAUAAGCUGAGGUAAGACUUCAGAGCCUAUUCCAAAGCAAGGGAGUUCAGUGGAAAGUGAUUCCCACUUGAAGUCUGCACAGCCUUCUCUGAGAGAGAAAUCCAAUGGGCUCUGUAGAGAGGAAGGACUGGUGGCAAGGAAGAGAUCUUUUAAGAUUUUAAAACACUUUAAGACUUAUUACCAAGACUAAUUAAGCAAGCACAGUAUUCUCUGUCAGGAAAUAAUGGUCGUGAGCUUUCAUUUUCUGUGACUGUCUCCACGUCCUGUUAUUUAACUCAUGUCAGACUUUCUUCAUAGUUCUGCUCUGCUCAGAGUCCGUGCUUACACUUUUAGAUGGCUUUGAUAAUCAUUAGCAUGUUUAAAUCCGAUUUCUGGAAGGCAGGAUUAUUGCUUCUUCCGGAGUGUGUCUGAUGGAUUUGUGUGGGCCAGAGCGGUCUGCAGCCUCCAGACUGGCUCCUCUGUAUGAAACUUAGUUUUAUCUUGAAAUUUUAUAUUUUGUAACUGUUCUUAGGAAAUACUGAAACUUAGACUCUUAGGGCUGAUUUUCCAUGCACGUGACUGACUUUAGACUUUCAUAAAUAGAGCUCUAGGCUUGAAUCUGUUAUGUCGAAAAGACGUGCUACCGAGAUCUACAGUCGUUUUUGAUUUUUGACAAAAACAUGUCAGUGUUUGACACUGAGCGUUGAGGUGCAGUUAUUUAUUUGAAUCUUUAGAUUUUAUUUUUAUUUUGCGACAGGGUCUCAUGCUGUAGCCAAGGAGUCUUUGAACUCACCUAUGUAGCCCAAGCCACCCUUAAAUUCUACAGCCAUCCCCCUCCUGUCUCGGGCUCCCCAGUGCAGGAAUUAAAAGCACAAACCGCUGUACACGGCUAACUCUUAGUUAAGUUUGUGACAUAGUUUUAAUUUCUGGGAUGGGCGGACUGAGUGUUCUGGGACCCAGAGAGUCAGUAGCCAGGCCUGCUGUAGAUUCUUCUCCUGGUCCCUCCUUGAGUGUUCCUCCCUCCUCCCCAGAGCAGUUUUCAAUGGCCCCCUUGAGGAUUGUUGAACAAUCCUUUCCCAGGGGUCACCUAAGAUCAUAGGACAACACACAUAUUUACAUUAAGAUUCAUGGCAGCAAAACUGAAGUUAAGAAGUAGCAAUAAAAUAAUGGUGGGGGGGUUGGGGAUUUAGCUCAGUGAUAGAGCGCUUGCCUAGGAAGCGCAAGGCCCUGGGUUCGGUCCCCAGCUCCGAAAAAAAGAACCAAAAAUAAAUAAAUAAAUAAAAUAAUGGUGGGGGAUCACCACAACAUGAGGCGGUGUACUAAAGGGUCACAGCAUUGAAAGGCUAAGACAGUUACUGCUUUUUCUUGUCUUUAAUGACAAGGAAUGCUUCUUCUAUACGGGAGCAUCGGACUCAUUUUCUCUCAGUUCCUUUUACUCCAAGCUGUGAGAAUUCUGUCGUAGCCCUGCAUGCAGCCUUUCACACUGGGUGUGGUUGGCCAACGCCUCCGUGUGGAUCUUCAUGAGUCUGUCCCCACACAGUCUUCCUUUCCCUGUCUGUCCUCUUUCCGUGCUCUGGCUGGUCUUAGUUUGAGCAUUGAGAUGUAGCGCUGACUGGCCAUCCCUUUAAUAGUGAUGUGUGGUUGCUUAGGGCUGUGCUGACACUUGCUCCCCUUAGCUUUGGGGCCCUGGAAAAAACCGCCUCUUACUCUCUUCCUUUGUGAGAGUUUGGAUGCACAAAGGGUUUCCUGGCCCCCAGCUUCUGUAUGUACAGUGCUAGAGUUACAGAUCCUCACAGGGGUGUUUCCUGGAGAGAAGGGGAGAGAAUCCAAAAUCCCUUAAAUGAGUUUAGUCAUUGCUGUGGUUCGAACACUUGAUCAUAUUGGCCAUGCCUUAUUCACAUUCUGAAUUUAGCUCUCUGAAUUUUGUAGUUUUCCUAUAAUUUCAUACUAUUUAAUGCAGGCUCUGUGACAAAAGAAUUGUUAUGGCUCCAUCAUUUUUCCCACCUCUUCCUUGAAAUUGCAUCCAUUUGGCCCUCCCCCUUUCCCUCCCACUGGGGUUUGAGUGGGUCCCAAGGGCACCCUCUACACAGUGGGCCAUUUGCAGUGUCCUGGCAGAUGAAGUUGAAUCCUGUAGCCAGGAAAGGUCACCUAUCAGGAUUUGGAAGAUUUCUGCUACUCUGUGGCUCCCAAGAGGAGUGGCUUCUAAAGACAGCCUUUCCUGUGUAUUUGAACCAAUGAGGGAGUUUCUGGGGUCAGCUCAGCGUUUCUGUUAACCUCUUUUGCACUCAGGUUGUGCAUAACUUGUGCGUGACCUUGAGCGCUUGUGUCCUGUUUUCAGGGAACUCUUGCCAGUGAGGAGUCUGUCUGUUCACAACUACACCAGGCUGCUUAUCCAUCUGUGGUCAAGGCCGUUGGCACUUGUUUGGUGCUUGCUGGUUGUGCAUGGUGGCUCACACUUAGUGCACAUACCAUCCAUGUUAAAAGCCUGCGAUGAUUCCCAGUGAGCAUAGUUAAGGCUGAUUAAUCAAUCAGCUAACCACCUUGGUCUCAGAGUUGUUUAUGUUCCUUUAGCUUUGCCUUUUCUUUUUAUUUCUUUCUUUCUUUCUUUUCUUUUUUUUAGCUUCAGAAUUUUAUGGUCUGUCAGAGAGCAUCAUGGUGGUCAUGGUGGCACCACAUUUUUUAAAAAGCACUUACUGCAUGAAAAUGCUUAUGUUUUGAUAGGAAGAAGUGAAACAUUUUUAAAGGUCAUUCAGGACUCUUUUGUGGAUUUCAUCUUUGAAAUUUAUACCGUAUGCCUUUGCUUUGUGAGACAUAACCGUGCCUGUCCUUUUAAGUAUGCCCAAAUCCCUCCUUGUCCCUACUUUUAGGGAGUUCCAAGUUGGGAUUCUUCCUGCUGCCAAUUUAGUUCUGGAAGAGGACCCAAGGGCUCUGCUCAUAGCCACCCAUCUUUGUGACUAUCUAAUGAGCCAUGUGCAACAAGGACUUCUUUGGCUUAAUGAACCAGUGUCCUAGUUAGUCAUUUCAUAUUAUCUGCAUAAUACUUUCAAGACCAGAACUUUUGAAAAUACAAGAUCAGGGCUGGGGGUACUGCUGGGUGGGAGAGCUUUGCAUAAGUGUGGGCCUUGGGUUCAGUCCAGCGCUACAAAAGCCAAAAAGAUCAUUUGGGAUUCUAAUCAGCAAACUUGGUUUCCAUUGUCUUUAAUGGUCUUCCUGAUAACAGAUGUGGAAUGUAUUAGUUCCUCUGUUGGGGGCAAGGUGGUGACAUGAGGCACAGCCUCUGUCCAAGUGACCCUGGGUCGUUAACCCAGAAAGCUGUCCUUCGUUCUUGAGGAAAGCCACAGCAACAUCCCAAGAGUCGACUAGAAAUGCCUGCUGUGUUUUGUUGGUAUUGGAGGAAUCACUUGAUCUAAGAACAGACCUGCGAUCGAUCGCAAAAGUUUAUGUAACACUUGCUAACAACAUACGGUGGCACUCUGAAGUAAGAGCUCUUCAUUUCAGGCAAGGUUCCUCACUCAUGGACAUUGCAGGCCACCAAUGCCCCCUCAGAUGUCUGAGGUUGUGGACGUGAGUGACUGUUCAUCAGUAGAGUCCUCCUAGUCUUCAGUAUGGAGGGCUUAACUAAAAGUAAACACAACUCUGGUUGGUUACACUUUCUGUUCCAAAAGGAAACAGGCGAAGGCUUUGGCUGUGUCUGGAGUGUGCCUUGGGAGACUUGUGGGAUGCUGGUAGGCUGUGGCUCUGGCCUUCUCAAUUUUGCCCCUCCCCCAUUCUUUCUGUCUCUUUUCUACUUUCAGUUUUCCAAGUUUUCUUUUUGGUGUGGGUUCUAUUCUGUCUCUCUGCCUUUCCUGUGUGCUCUUUCCAGGACUGCAGACAUAAUAGCUCAGUUGGAAGAGUGUUUGCCUCCCACUCACGAGGCCCUGGGUUCAGUUCCCCACAAAACAAAUUUCCCAGAAACAUUCUGGAAGUUCCCACAUCAUCCCCUGACCCCACCCCAACUGAUGACCAUCUAAAGCUGAAGACAACUUUGACUCUAAUGUUAGGAUCGUUUUAGUCUAUAAACACUGAUGGAUAGUAAUGAACAGGAAGUAUUUCUGAAAUUUUAAUUGGUUGAUAAUAGGUUACUUCCUGGUUGGAUGGAAAGUAGGUGUGAAAUAUGCCCUUUGCUCUUCAGGAGGCGUUCAGACAGGAUUCAGAGGCGUGCUUGAAGACUUGCUAGAAUUUAAGCUGUCUUUUAAGUAACAGAUUUCAGGACUGUUUAACAAAUUUGUUGAACAAAAAUACUGUUUGGGUUCAAGCGGUGUUAUUAAAUUGCUUAAAUCAUGUUUGGUAUGAAGAGCAUAACAGUCAAAUUGUGUAGAACACCACUGUUGGAUGAGCACACAGUCUAGCUGUUAUGACCUCCAGAGUUAAUGAGAUGCAGUCCUGUUAGUCCUGCGUCAUAGAGUUGGCCUAAAAUGACAUAGCUGGCUAGUAGCAUAAUUGACAACAGGCAAACAAUAUUCCUGUAUCAAAAACUCAGGUGACUUGGAAGGAAAAUCGGCUAAGCAGCCUGAGCUUUGACUUAGAUACCGCCUAGUUACCAGGUGGGGAUUGGUCUUUGGAGCGGAAUUACUGAGGAGGGUCCCUCCCAGGUCUGGGAUAUAGUUUGUUGUACUUUGUUCUUUGCUGCAGUUGAACCGGGGCCUCCUCAGGCCCCCAGGCCAAUGCUUGGCAUCUCAGCUAACUGGGGUGGAUACUCAUUCAAGGCCAGAUCUUCCAAAUUUCAAAUCUGGUAGAAGGAGCCCUCCAGUAGUAACACUCAAGGCCAGUUUUUAAGGGGUGGGCGCACUUUUCAGUUCUUAUUCUUUAAGAGUUUGAGAGACCAGCGUUACAUAAAUUUAUGGGAAUUUUGCUGUUUGCAACUGAGAGUUGCUUUGUUUGGGGUUGGAGAAUAGGUUUUGUGGCUCCUGGGAGGAGGACCUGCAGUUGGGCCGAGGGAAGCCCGACAGUCUGGAACAAUCUGUAAGGGGUGAGGGAAGAGGAGCUUUCGCGAAAGUAUCAGAGAAAAGCUGAGGGGAUUGGAGCUCAUGACGGUUGGUGUCUAGGCCUUUCUCCAUUCUUAGCAAGUCUUGCUUGGCAGUAUGAAGGACACUGUUCUCUUGCCAGAAGGAAAUGAGAAAGAGGCAUGGAGGCAAAUGGAGGGAAGCCCUUUGAGGUUUUUCUUUCUGAAGGAAGUGAUAGCCACCCAGGCUGCUGGUAGCAGUGCCACACAGCAGGCGUGGGGCACAUAGGCAGCCAUGAUUUAUGUCUCACAGUUCUGGAAGCCCAAGAUCAAGAGACUGUCAGAUUCUUGUCAGAUGAAGACCAGCUUCCUGGCUCAUAGUGAUACCUUCUAGCCAUAGCCUCAGUUUGUCAGGGAGGAAGCAGCUCUGUGUGGCUUGUGAUUUGUUGAGCUAGGCCUUGCCAUGUGAUAGCUCAGGUUGGCCUCCAAUUCCCGGCAGUCUUCUGUCUCAGCCCGGAUCUCUUCUCUGUGUUUUAAAAGCUCACUAAUUCCAUCCAUGAGUGCCCCACCCUCCUCGCCUCCUAAGAUUAUUUCUAAAGCUCUCGCCUCCCAGUUCUGACUAAGGAGUAGUAGUAUUUCAAUAAAUGAAUUGGUGUAGGGUGGGUGGCAAAGUAUUCAGUCUGUAGGGAAAAUUCUCUUUGUGUCCCUUAAUUUAUUUUGGUUGAAUCUAACAACAAAAAAUAAAGGUCUAAAGUCAGACAGUAACUUUAAAAAAAAACUAUGGGAAAAUGAAUAUGUAAAAGUAAAUAUUCACUUAGCAGUAAUAUUUACACUUAGGGAUUUUUUGGGUUUUUUUUUUGUUUGUUUGUUUGUUUUUUUAAGAGUCUUAUAUGUAGCCCAGGUUGGGAUCUUAAUCCUCCUGCCUCAGUUUUUUGACUGUUAUGAUUACAGUCAUGUGCCCUACUACAUUGUGUUUCUAUUAUCAAUGCUAUUAAUUAUUUCCAUGUGAUGGCAACAUGAUUAUCUUGAAUGAUAGAUUUUUUUUAAGUUGCAUGUCUAUGGAAUCAACCAAGCAGUAGAAAUAGUUGGAGAAAAAAAUCUUGGCAUUUGUACUGAUCUAUACUGAACAUGUCGGCAUUCCCUGAACAGUGCAGAGGACUGUUUAUAUGCCGUGUGCAUUGCACUGUGUUGUAAGUCUGAAGGUAUUUAAGGUGUGUCAGGAGAUGUGCAGAGAAUACAUGCAAAUGCUAGGCCACAUGGUUAGUAGACUUGAGCAUCUGCAGAUUUUGUUGCGGGUUGGGUCUUGAAUCCAAUCCCACAUGGAUACCAAGGGCAAUCAUAAUUAUAGGAUGAACACCUGAUGUCCAGUCUCCAAGAUAACUUUAUUAACACUCUCCUUUAUUAACAUUUUAUUUUUCAUUUAAUGUACUAGUGCUUUGCUGCAUAUACAUCUGGAGUCCAGAGGAGGGCAUCAGAUCACCUUAUAGAUAGAUGGUUGUGAGCCACCAUGUGAUUGCUGGGAAUUGAACUCAGGACCUCUGGAAGAGUAGCCAGUGCUUUUGACCGCUGAGCCACCUCUCCAGCCCCCCUUUAUUAACACUUUGAGCAUGUUGAGUAAAAGGAACUAACAUCAGAAUUUAUUUAGCCAGAAUUUUGUGUUUUCAUGUUAAAACAAAGUUAAUGAUUCUUAAAUGCCUCUACUCUUGAAGGCGGCCAGUGUUACUGUUUAGUCACUCCUAGUGCUCAGUCUGCACUGUACUUACAAAGACAGGAGGAGAGGGACUUUGUGGUGGUCUGUGGUGGACCCCUCUUCUAGCCAUGAUGGAAAAUUGAGAGGCUGGACUUUUUUGGGUCUUGUGUAAGCGGCCACAGCUUCAGCGAGUCAGUGAGCACAGUGCCCAUGUCAGAUCCAGAAGGCCUUUUUACUGCACAUCCUCCUAUUCUGGCUCUCACUAAAACCCCAAAACAUACAAUUAAGUUGGGAAAUAACAGCAGAUGUGGCUAUCUACCAGGGAGGGAGGGAAGGAGGAAGGGUGGGUGUGUACUUUAAAAAUAAUUUCAUGCAGUGAAUUUUGAUCAUAUCCAUCCUCAGUUCUUAACCUUGACUUCUUCCAGAUCCAUUCUCACUUCCCUACUCACUUCUCACUUUUCAUGUCCUUUUAUUUGGGGUUAAUUCAAUAACCCUUUGACAUUCUGGCUAUGGAGCCAUCUGGAUUGCAGUUGACCUGCGAAAAGAUACUCCCUUUAAGGAAACUGAUUCUCCCUUCCCCAGAAGCUUUCAACUGUACAUAGCUUCUCAAAGCUGCUAUAAGUAGACUAAUCUAUAAGCAGAUAAGUCAUAGGGCAGUUUUAUACCCUGCCCAUAUAGCAAAGUAAUUAUAGUAGGCUAACCCCCAGGGCCUGCGAGCUCUCCAGUCUUGGCCUCUUGGCUAGAUUUAUAGUUAACCAGGUAUAUAUCGACUUCUUUGGAAUGGACUUUCAAUGUAAUCAGAAAGCAGUUAGUCACUUCCCUAACAUCUGUUGCAUUCAUAGACAUGUCUUGAAGUGUCAGUUGUUACUAUAGUUCAUAGGAUUCAUAGCUAGGUAAGACUGUUGAUGGCUUUACCCCCUGGCAGUCUGCAUAGGACCCUGUUACUGUGUUUGAGGUAGGGUGCUUCCUGGUCAGUACCCACUUUGGUUUCUCCAUAUCCUAUAACCAGUAUAUGUGGUACCUUCAGCAAUGGUCUUCAGCAGUGAGGCCUUACUGUGUAGUUUUGUUAGGCAACCGAGAGCAACAAUAAUAAUAGUCUGUACUGUUUUGGGGAUUUCCAGAAAUCUCCAACCACAAGUUUGAGGGGCGGUGUCCCACACUUGAGCACUGGGCUUUUUGUUUGGCAUCCUGUGUCUCUGAGGUAAACAUGAUCCCCAGAGUAGAGUAACUCUCAUUAAAGUCAUUGUUUUCAUAUGCUUUUGGAGACAUCCUUUGGGUUAGACACCUCUCCUGCAAACCCCUCCCUCUGCUUUACCCUCCUAUCCCAGUGUGCUUGCUGCCAUGGCCAUGUUUGAAGAAUACUGGCCACCCACUGUGGAGAAGUUCCUUCCAUUUGGUUUGUCUGAUGUUUCCUCUUGUGAGGUUGAGGUUUUGUGCUUUUGUAGACGUGUCACCCUAGGGACGUCAUACCCUCACUGUAUCACACUGGAGGCAUGUGGUGUCACCCCUGAUAAGGUUGAACUUGAUACAAAGGUUGAGGCCAGCUUUUCUCUCUCUGUGCCUGUCUUGUCUGUCAGUUUUUCCUCCACUUUUCAAAUAAAAGAGCAAGUUCAUGGAAUAAUCUUUCUUAGAUUUUAUUACCACCUUAUUUAUAAGUAAAAUUUAAAAUGUUUUGGUUUUGGCUGUACUGUUUUUUUUUUCGUUUCAAUUGAUGGGUCUCUUUUUUGUUUGUUUGCUUUUGAGACAAGGUCUCAGUCUAGCCCUGGCCGGACUGGGACUCGCUAUGAUUCUCCUCAGCUUCUGGCAGUCCUCCUGCCUCAGUCUUCCAAGUACUGGGAUGACCUCUGUGAGCCACCAUACUAGCUUCUCAAGGUUUGAAAAAUAAUCUGUAGUCAAACUUACUGAUGGAGUCCUAGUUCGCCUGUCCCACCAGCAAUGUCAGAGGACAUGCCAGUAGGACCUAUCCCCACAGCAGCGUCAGAGGACACGCCAGGUCCCCUCCAGGACUUGGCACAGCUUAUUCUUGUGUGUGAUCUGAGGUACAGAGCUAAAUCUCUCUCUCUCUCCAAAUGGCUCUCCAGUGUCUUUAACACCGUUUCUUAAAGUCAGUCUUUGUCCAGUGCUUUUUCACAUCUCCUUUAGUUUGCACAAUGCGGCUUGUCUCCUUGAGCCCGCUCUUUACUUUGGUCUGUCUGUCUGUCUGUCUGAUCUGUCUAAAUAGCACUCUCCAUGAUGUAGGCUCAUGUUAGAAUAGAUUACCUGGCAGAACCAUCGUCCUCCUCUCUAAAGCCUCAGAGUUUCCCUGGCUCUUCUGCUCAUUUAUUUUUUCAGUAUGAAAUUCCCUUAUCUCAUCCACUUAAAAACUGGGUAUAUCUGUGAAACUUACAUUGAUUUUUUUCACUUACGGUGAACUGACAUUUUAAUGAUGUUAGUUUGUUCUAUAUCAGAAAAUAUAAGGGAUUUUAUUUGGUUGAGUUUUCAUUUGUGCCUCUUUUGGGAUGUUUUAAAGUUUUCCUAUGAUGGGUUUUACACACUUCUUAUUAUGAAAAUUGCAUUUUUUCCACUUAAUAUUCUGUGGAGCAGGUCAGUACAUGUUGACCUAUUUUAUUUUGUAAAAUGGAUCCAGAGUAGUCUGCCAUGACCUAAUUUCAUUUAACUUUGCCUCUGUUGAUAUAUGCUUGUUACUUUUAAUUUUUCCCUCGUUUAAGCAGCUAGAAUUGGAAUUGCUUAUUCAUAAACCAUCUGGGUUUUGGAGGUAAUAAAUGCUGCCAAGUAAUCUUCUCAAACCAUUUGACAGAGUCAUGCAAACUUUAUUGCAUAUGUGCAUUGUUACUAGAUCUCCAAACUUCUUUAAAGGAAAAAAGCCAUGAAAGAUACUUCUGCUCUAAAAGUCCUGUGUAUUCAUGAGCAUGGGCAGAAGUGGCUGGGGCUGUAACUUAGUAACUCAGUGCUUGCCUGUUGUGACCAUGGGAUCAUACAGGAGUACUACAAAUAAAAAAGUAGCAGAAGUCACAAUGUUGGCCUUGAAUAACUACAACACAGUCUUGGAAACGACAUUUACAUACAUUAGAAAGUAUGUAAAGUUCCCAUGAAUGUAGACCUUGAAUUGAGCCCCAAAGAGAGUCACUGGGUCUAGGGAUACACACCUUCAAUCCUAGCCCUCGGGGGACAGGAACAGGUGGACCUCAGUGAAUUUGAAGUCAACUUGGUCAGAACAGCAAAUUCUAGGUCAGCCAAGGGCUACAUGGUGAGAUCUUGUUUGUUUUGCUAUCCUCCACCUCCCAAAAGAAAGUGCUGGAAGUGGUUUGGUGUGCUAAUGGCAUAGGUUACAUUGACCUUGCUUUGCCAGUGACAGUGAUGGCCUAGACUAAAAUGGUAUCUGUAUGCAAAACUAAGGAAAGGACAGCAGGUGAUGGAUGGCUUUGAGGAGAGUCUUGAAGAAACACUUCAGGUUUGAUCUCCUGGCAAGGUAACAAAUCACCCUCAAAUCCACAGAUUAGAGUCCACAUCAAAUGCUGGUUUUCUCUAAUUGUGUGCUGGGGUUGGGGUUCAGGAUCAAGGUCUCUUCUUGUACUGAAGUAGAAAUAGUAGGUUCCAGUCCUCUUCUGUGGUGGUGCAUUUCCUGGUGCUGGUGGCCCCUGGAGACCUCAGUUUUCCCUGUGAGUCUCCACAGAAUAGAGUGCCCAUAAGCCCUGGCGGCUUCAUCUCCAGAUCAAGUGAUCUAGGGGACCAAGGUGGUGCCUCAGUGCCUUUUGACUUUCCCUUUGGAAGCCAUUCACUGUCUCUCUGUCUCCACAUUCUAUUCUCUAGAAACAAGCUGUAAGGUCAGCCCACAUUCAAGAGCAGGGGAGCUAAGUUUCAUGUGUUCAAGGGGAAUGUCGAAGAAUCUGGGAACAGAUUGUGAAACCUACACACUGUCCUGUCUGUUCUGAAGAGGAGGGAUGCUAACAUUUUCAAAAGGGAAAAAUGUGCUUCUCUCCCGCCCACCCCUCUGUGGUAUCUACUGAAGAUCAAGCCGGCUGUAGUGUUGAAUAUAGAUUGAAGUGAGAUCUACCCCAUGCAGUCACUGAGCCAUCUAGUGAGGACAGAUUCAAUCGAGGGCUCUGUGAGGGGGGAAGUAGAGCAGGUGGAAGGGUGGAGGCAGCAGAAGGGUGAGCAAACGAUAAGGAAGAGAGACCAGGCUUGUCAGAACUAGGAAGAAAAGCAAGAAAAGCAAGCUCUGAGGGAAAAGGAAGCUGGUUGGGUUCUAGGCACUCGGUGGGCAAGUCCUAAGGAGUCCGAAAUGCACAGCCGGGACCCAGUUGAGACUUCUCACCAAAGAGGCCCAGCAGUGAUAGUUAACACUGUCAAGGACUGAAAACAGGGGAAACAGAGCCCAACAGGCCAGGGCCUGGGCCUGUGCUGUGAUUUAGAGAAGUGAGCCAGGUCUGCAGCAUGCUGGCGAAGGGAGAACGAGCUAUGUUCCUGGCAGGAAGGAGAGAGAGACUCUGGAAUGAUUCAGAGCCCUCAGGUGUUGGGGUUUGAAAUGAAUGUGUUUGCCUGUAAGACUGCGAGGGAGACAGCAGUUUUUAAGUGGAAUAAAACAGUUUUGGAAAAUGGAUUAUAACAUCUACAUUGGUGGCUCUUUUGCUCACGAUUGGGAGGAAGAGUGACUGGCAUUCCAGAAAUUCCUUUCUUUGGCAUUGACAUACUCUGUCUUCUUGAUUCCUUUUAGAACCACCAUUGCAUCCCAGGGAUGGUGCCCUCUACAGGAGGAGUUUUGCCUCACUUUGGGAAUCUCUUAACUGCAUCUCUUGCUCCUAAGGAUUAGAAGAAUUGAGCUAAUGGGAGUCUUGCAGCCUCUCUAUCCACUGAGGCAGGGGUCAUGACUACAGGUCCAAGCCACUGAGAGAAGAACAGCAGCAACCUGGUCUCUUCACGGAACACUGUAAGCCUCCAAAGAGGUAACUGAAUGUAGUUGCGUAUGCAUUUGUUAUGUUAAUAUUUGUAAGUGCCGUCACAGGAGAGGGGAGACAGUGUUUGAUCUUUUCUAAGUGCUUUUCAGUAUACCUGAGCCCUAAAUGAACCAGUCUCAAAUGCCAGUAGAAAAUGCCUGGUUCCAAAAGGAAGGGUGUGUGAGCAGCCUUGGUGAGUUCUGAGAACUCGCUCACCAAGCCUGAGUGGAGCGAAGGAACCUGAUUCUUGGCACACCGACAUAUUUUUGCCUUAAAGCACCCAUUUAUAACUUCAAAUGUGAAAUUGGUUUCAAUUUUGAAACUAAAGGGCUUCUGUGAAACUUGUUGAUACUUUAAUAGUAAUCAUAGUAUUUUGAAGUAAUAGUAAUUAUUAGGACUAUUAAGCUCUCGAAGGCAAGGUCUGGUGUAGUUGAAGUCCCUCUAAUACUCUGUGUCCUGAAGCUUCUGACCGUCCUGCUUCUGCCUCCUCGGUGCUGGGCUGACAGGCAUACACCACCGUGCCCAGCCUUUUUAGUCAUCUAGCAGAGCCCUGAAAUUCUUGAGACUUCGUCGCUUGGGAAGAUGAAGAAUGUUUGGGGGUGGCCACCAAGGAAGCUUAGAGAUUGAUCGGCAGUAAUUAUCCAUGAAGAUGACAUUGAGCACCCCAUCUUCUGAGUGCAGCAGAUACCUCAGAUGAGACAGUCCCAGUUGUCAGCUGUCCGGGUCUGCGGUGCCACCGAGGCUCUGCCACCUAGUGGACAGUGAGGAGAGGAGCGCCUGUGGGACGCUGGUUCAGCAUUCAUUCUCAUACACGUGUCCUCUCCUGAUGAGACUCUGGACUCCAUUUUCCCAUCUUCAACUUCUCUUGCUUCCUGGUGUCUUUCUCUCAACACUCCAGCAUCCCUUUACUCAGGGCGAGGAGCCAGUGUGCUAGACUUUCCUCUGGGUGGCCUUUGUAGUGUCUUUCUGUCCCCUGAUCACCUGCCUUGUCUUAGUGUCACUUGGUGUCCUCUAUGGUUCUCUGCUUGGGUUUAUAUUGGAUGAUAUUACCUGUGCUGCUGCUCUUCUCCUGGGAGGGCUGGCGUGACUGUCCCUGGCAGCACAGCUGCACACAGUGUCAAGAGACUGGGACCCACAGAGGAAAUACCUAUUAGCAUCGCAUCUGUUACCUGCCCCAUCUGUUCGUUUGUUUUGUUUUGUCCUGCUAUGCUUUGAGACAGGGUCUCUCUACAUAGCCCUGGCUGUGUUGGAACUCACUAUGUAGAUCAGGCUGGCCUCAAACUCACAGAGAUUUGCCUGCCUUUGCCUUCCCUGUGCUGGGAUUAAAAGCUGAGCCAUGAGGCCUGGCCCGCUAAUCUAUUUAAUGAGAACACUUCCCUGCUUCUCUCCAAUGUAGAUCAUGGCUAUCCCAGAGCAUUAUCCUCUGACAGACUUACGAGGCAUUCGUGCUGUGUCAGUGGGCCCUGCUUCCUUGUCCUUGAGCACUGUCCCUAAAACCCCUGCAAACUCCCCUUAAUUUAACUUAAAAAUACUAUUUAAUGUGAAUGAGUGUUUGCCUGCAUGUAUGUGUGUGUGCGUCCAGUGUGGAUGUGCCAUGCCCACAGAGUCCAGACGGAGUGUCCGACGCUCUGUAAGUAGAGGUAAGCAUGAGUUCAGCUGCCGUGUGGAUGCUGGGGACUGAACUCUGGCCCUCAGCUGCUUAAUUCUUCUCACCCAACUUUCUCCUUUUCAUUAUUGACCUCUCUCGUUUUCCACUUGUGUGCCCUAUUUAGCUGUCUCUCUGAGCUUUGACCUUGCUUUCCUGGCUGUGGCAAAGAAUCCAACUUGCCAUUUUGAAAGAUUUGUCCUUCUGUGCUGUCAGAUCUCACUGUUAAAUAGGGCAGAGGAGGUAAUCCAGUCAGUAAGGCGCCUACGUAAACCUGAGGCCUGGAUUUGGAUCCAGACCCCACGGAGAACGCCAGGCAUGGCAGGCAGCAUGUAUCUUUCAUUACUAGCACUGUGGGGGUGGAGACAGGAGAAUCCCUGGCAUUCACUGGCCAGCUAAUCUAGCCAAGUCAGUUGAUCACAAAGUUCAGUAAGAGACCUGUCUCCAAAAUAAAUAAGUAAAUAAAAGGCAGAGCGAUAGAGCAAGACACCUGACUGUGACCUCCGCCCCCCACCCCGGCAUGCACACUCAAGAACACUGUUGCCCCACACAAAGAUCCUGCUAUUAGUUUUAAGAAAAUACGACUCCUGCGUUAAUUCCCAUAGUCUUUAUACUAAAAUGUUCGGUUUCUCAGAAACAGCUGUUGUGGUGCUCUGACCUUAAAGUCCACCCGAGUAAAUGGCUAGGUUCAGGGAUCAGCAGUGGUGGGUCUCUGCACCUGACACUCUUCUUGGUUGGCGUUAAACACUCUAGAGAGACACCUGCUGGACAAAAUGUAGUGUUGUGUCGCUGUUCUCUUGUGGAAUUUAUCCUAUAGGACCAUGUUAAGCUUUCCUAGCCUAAGAACUGAGGAGUACUCAUGCCUUAGAACUUGGUUCAGUGAUUAGAGCUGUACGUAAUAGAGACAAGGAUUUCAUGAUAAAACCCUGGUCUCGUCCCUUGUGCAAGCUCCUCAGCGCUACAGAAUGACUGUGCAGUAAUGACUUCUCAGACCUGGGCCCUUCGAAAGGUUUUGAAAGGGGUGAAUCUCUUCUCCAAAACAUUUAGAACUUGCUUUUAGAUGUAAGUUUUAGAUGGCUUAGCUUGGUUACUCUAGAAGUGCAUUUGUUUCUCCUUUUACAAACUUUGCAGUAGAAAAAUAAAUGCAGAGAUGGGCGAGUUGGUUCAGUGGUUAGGAGCACAUGUAGCACGUGUUGCUCCUGGAAAGGACCCAGGUUUGCUUCCCAGCACCCACGUGGAUGGUCACAAUAACCCCAACUCCAUUCCAAGGGAUCUAAUGCCCUCUUCUGACUUCCACAAACAUGCAGGCGUAGAAAAAAAUUUUAGAAAUCAAAACAAAAUUUUAGAAAAAGGAAUCUGGAGUGUUGACACUUAGCUCAAAGCCCCAGUCAGAGAGAGCAUCAGGGCAGCUUCUGGGCAGUGCUUGUCUAGGUCCGUCCUCACUGAAUGCAAAGGCAGGCUCACCACCCACCCCAUAAAAAAUGACCAUUACUCAUUUCUCAUGUUUUACCAUGUCUAGAACAAAUUUUAAGGACUAUCAUGUACAAAACAGUUC
ensembl:lncRNA